ensembl:snoRNA
UACACUGGUGGCUUAAAAACAAGAAGACAGGUGUAAACAGUAAAUCCUCUUUUGCACCCCAGAACUCAUUGCUGAGUAUGAGAUUUUGGUACGUGUAAGAAAGAAUAGG